UAAUUAUGAGAAAAUUUUAAAUAAAUAAUUUCUAAUAUAUAAUAUUGUAAAUUUUCGGUGGACGAAAAGAAGAAAAUUUUAAAAGAAAAUGGAAGUUUUUAGACGGAGAAGAAGUGCGCGCGCAUUCCAUCUCUUUUCGACGCGCAUACGCAGCAUUUUGUUGGCCAAUGGAUGAAAAGAAUCAGAUGGAUUUUAAAUAAGAGGGAGAGAGUCGAGGUGAAGGGGAAGAGGAAGAAAUAACCGAGGAGACUGCGUGCGCAGUUGCCACGUUGAGCUUUCACUUGGACGUUCACAAAGAAAAUGUUCGAUCGUAAAUGCUGAUCGUUGGAUACGAGCCGUUACGAUCAUGGCGGGAAUGCUCGACGUUUGGCAACCUCGCAUUUUAUGGAGUUUAGAAUUGAGAUUUUAAGAGUUUUCGGAGAUUUUUCCGGAAAGACGCCGUGGAAAAUCGAGGCUUUGUUACUACAAGGGGGAGAGGGGUUGAAGGACGGAAAGAGAAGGGACGAUUACGAUAAACUGCCGUCGUGUUAGUAAUAUACGCUGAAAUGGAGGGGAAAAAAGAGAGAAAGAGAAGAAAACCGGGUCCGGGUCAAUAAGACGCGAGAGAGGCAGAAAGCGGACAUUCCCAGGGACGAACUAAAUAUUUUAUUUUUUUCAAUUUUAUGAAUUUUUUUUUCAUGGAAAUUUAUAAAAUUUGUAAAAAGAAUUUUCACAUUUU